CCUACGGGGUGCAGCAGUCGAGAAUCAUUCACAAUGGGGGAAACCCUGAUGGUGCGACGCCGCGUGGGGGAAUGAAGGUCUUCGGAUUGUAAACCCCUGUCAUGUGGGAGCAAAUUAAAAAGAUAGUACCACAAGAGGAAGAGACGGCUAACUCUGUGCCAGCAGCCGCGGUAAUACCGAGGUCUCAAGCGUUGUUCGGAAUCACUGGGCGUAAAGCGUGCGUAGGCUGUUUCGUAAGUCGUGUGUGAAAGGCGCGGGCUCAACCCGCGGACGGCACAUGAUACUGCGAGACUAGAGUAAGGGAGGGGGAACCGGAAUUCUCGGUGUAGCAGUGAAAUGCGUAGAUAUCGAGAGGAACACUCGUGGCGAAGGCGGGUUCCUGGACAUUAACUGACGCUGAGGCACGAAGGCCAGGGGAGCGAAAGGGAUUAGAUACCCGUGUAGUC
rnacentral:rRNA from 1 species